CCAUCCUUAGCUAAGAACUGGGUGAUGCGGAUGCUCUUUCUGGAGCAGCCUUUGCCACAAGCUGCUGUAGCCCUGUGGGUAAAGAAGGAAUUCAGCAAGGCUCAGGAGGAAAGUACAGGGCUGCUGAGCGGCCUCCGGAUCUGGCACACCCAGCUGCUCCCAGGCGGGCUCCAGGGCCUCAUCCUCAACCCCAUUUUCCGCCAGAACCUCCGCAUUGCCCUUCUGGGUGGGGGGAAGGCCUGGUCUGAUGACACAAGUCAGCUGGGACCAGACAAGCAUGCCCGGGAUGUUCCCUCCCUUGACAAGUAUGCCGAAGAGCGAUGGGAGGUGGUCUUGCACUUCAUGGUGGGCUCCCCCAGUGCAGCUGUCAGCCAGGACUUGGCUCAGCUCCUCAGCCAGGCUGGGCUCAUGAAAAGUACUGAACCUGGAGAGCCACCCUGCAUUACUUCCGCUGGCUUCCAGUUCCUGUUGCUGGACACCCCGGCUCAGCUCUGGUACUUUAUGUUGCAGUAUUUGCAGACAGCCCAGAGCCGGGGCAUGGACCUAGUAGAGAUUCUCUCCUUCCUCUUCCAGCUCAGCUUCUCUACUCUGGGCAAGGAUUACUCUGUGGAAGGUAUGAGUGAUUCUCUGUUGAACUUCCUGCAACAUCUGCGUGAGUUUGGGCUUGUUUUCCAGAGGAAGGUAUGAGCGCCUAGAUAAGUGGCUUCCAGGGAAGAAACAGGGUGGCGUGUUGCCUUUGCCUUUAAAAAGGAGUGGGGUCUUGGGGCAGUAGCAGGAAGCAGUUGCCAGAACUGAAUACUUGGGUCUCUCGGGGGAGAGAAGUUGGGGUUCUGCAUCUUGGGAGGGAUCUAAUAUUUCAGGCAGGAAAAUGUAAGGCAGUGACUUCUGAGACAAGGCAUCUGCCUUUCUUUUCUUUUCAGAGGAAAUCUCGGCGUUACUACCCCACACGCCUGGCCAUCAAUCUCUCAUCAGGUGUCUCUGGAGCUGGGGGCACUGUGCAUCAGCCAGGUUUCAUUGUCGUGGAAACCAAUUACCGACUGUAUGCCUACACGGAGUCGGAGCUGCAGAUUGCCCUCAUUGCCCUCUUCUCUGAGAUGCUCUAUCGGUUCCCCAACAUGG
rnacentral:sRNA from 1 species